rnacentral:rRNA from 1 species
CAGCAGCAGCCGCGGUAAUACGUAGGGUGCAAGCGUUAAUCGGAAUUACUGGGCGUAAAGCGUGCGCAGGCGGUUAUAUAAGACAGAUGUGAAAUCCCCGGGCUCAACCUGGGAACUGCAUUUGUGACUGUAUAGCUAGAGUACGGCAGAGGGGGAUGGAAUUCCGCGUGUAGCAGUGAAAUGCGUAGAUAUGCGGAGGAACACCGAUGGCGAAGGCAAUCCCCUGGGCCUGUACUGACGCUCAUGCACGAAAGCGUGGGGAGCAAACAGGAUUAGAUACCCGAGUAGUCCCUGUCUCUUAUAC